rnacentral:rRNA from 1 species
AUUGAACGCUGGCGGCAUGCUUUACACAUGCAAGUCGAACGGUAACAGGCCGCAAGGUGCUGACGAGUGGCGAACGGGUGAGUAAUGCAUCGGAACGUGCCCAGUCGUGGGGGAUAACGCAGCGAAAGCUGUGCUAAUACCGCAUACGCCCUGAGGGGAAAGCGGGGGAUCGAAAGACCUCGCGCGAUUAGAGCGGCCGAUGCCUGAUUAGCUUGUUGGUGGGGUAAAAGCCCACCAAGGCGACGAUCCAUAGCUGGUCUGAGAGGAUGAUCAGCCACACUGGGACUGAGACACGGCCCAGACUCCUACGGGAGGCAGCAGUGGGGAAUAUUGGACAAUGGGGGAAACCCUGAUCCAGCAAUGCCGCGUGAGUGAAGAAGGCCUUCGGGUUGUAAAGCUCUUUUGUCAGGGAAGAAACAGCAGCUCUAACACAGUCUGCGAAUGACGGUACCUGAAGAAUAAGCACCGGCUAACUACGUG